rnacentral:tRNA from 1 species
UGGAGGGUGGCAAGGCCGAACGCUUCGCCGUCGUGAUCGGUGAAGGCCGCAUGCUGGCCGGGUUCGAAUCCGGUCUCAUCGGC